ACUUGACUGGUAAAAGUGAAAGUAAAACUUGGCUAUUAGGGUUGUCUCGAGCUUUAUCAACACCCAAAUCCCCAAAUCCCCAAAUCCAUUGCUCAGACUCACACAGUGUGAGAUUCAAUCUGAGCUUCUUUCCCAACAACCAAGAGAGAUCUGGGAUCAGAUCAUCCACAAUAUCGUCAAUGGAGCCUGAAAGAAAGAGGAAAUUUAUAAAAUCUUUAAUCGCGUCUGUAGGAGGCAAAUACAAAGUCUUCUUGAGUUUCAGAGUCACAGACAGUCGCUGUAGCGAUGUUCGAACUCCAGCAGUUUUGAGAUCGUCGUAGAGAUGUUCCGUGAAGCUGUAGCGACUGUCUGUGCCUCUAAAACUCAAGAAGAUAACGAGUUUCGCAGAGGAGAUGAGUUCGGCCGGACCCUCAAAGCAAUUGAAGAGUCGAAGAUCGCAAUCCCAAUCUUGUCUAAAAACUACGCUUCCUGUAAAUGGUGCCUCACCGAGCUCGCCACAAUAGUGGAGUGCAGGAGAACUAAGGGACAAGUGGUUCUACCUAUCUUCUACGACUUCUCUCCGUCCUCUGUGCGGCGCCAAUCAGGGAGUUUCGAGGAGGCCUUUCGCGCGCUCACGAAGAAUCACUGAUAGAGGUUGCUGACAUUCCAGGUUUUAAUGUUGAUCAUGAUAUUGGGUAUUGUGGAAAACUAAUAGAGGCCAUUGUUCAAAGAAUUGAUGAUCAUGCUGAUGAAGUGAUUAGAUUAUUAGGCAUCGGCUCCAGUGAUACGGAUUGUUGGUAUCCAUGGCAUGGGUGGUAUUGGCAAGACAACUAUUGUCAAGUUAAUCUACGAUGCUUUCAAAGGGGGCUUUGAUUGUCAUAGCUUCCUUGCAGAUAUUCGAGAGACAGCGCAGCAAUUUCAUGGUCUUGUUCAUUUGCAGCAAAAGCUUCUCACUGACACCCAAAAACGGUGUCCUGCCAUUUCUGAUGUUGAAGGUGGAUUGGAUGUGAUUAGAAAAAUAUUUCGCAAAAAGAAAGUUCUUGUUGUUCUUGACGAUGUGAUUGAAAUCUUUCAAUUUUAUUGGCUUGUGGGAAGUAGUGAUUGGUUUGGUUCAGGAAGUAAGAUCAUAGUUACAAGUAAAGAUAAGAGUGUUUUAAAUGAUAUUAAAGUGGAUGCGACUUUUGAACCUCCACUUAUGAACCCUGCACGAUCUCUUCAACUUUUCAGUAUUCAUGCGUUUGGAAGGAAGUUUCCUCCGGAAGGCUAUGUGAGUAUCUCUAACAAGGUUGCAUCUAAUGCUGCUGGGCUUCCUCUAACUCUUGAGGUCAUGGGUUCAUUUCUAUAUCAAAAAGUAAAAGUGGUAUGGGAGGAUACACUGGAGAAGCUGAAGAAAAUAUCUCAUGAUGAAGUUGAGAGAAAGUGGAGGAUAAUUUAUGAAGAAUUAAAUUACGAGCAAUUUUUUACUGGGAUAGAUACAACAACUGCAUUUUACAUGUGGGACGCUUGUGGCUUUCAUCCCGGAAUUGAAUUUGAUGCCCUUUGUCGGUAAAAGUGGAAGGAGAUGCUAAUAAGCUUGGGAUGCAUGAUCAGUUUAGAACUCUCGGUAGGAAAAUUGUCUGUGAAGAAGAACUUUUGAGAAAUUGUAGUAGGUUGUGGAAACAUGAGGAUGCCUUGAAUAUAUUGGAGGGACGGAAGGGAACCAAAAAGGUUGAAGCCCUAACUCUUUGCUUUGCAUUGGGGUCUGGAAAGGAGCCUCGCUUUGAAAGUAAGGAAUUCUCAAAACUAACAAAUAUAAGGUAUCUCCGAGCUGAUGGCAUAGAGCUUAUUAGGGAUUUUAAAAGCCUAUUUCCCAAUUUAAGAUGGCUUCGUUGGCGUGGCUGCCCACCGUUUUUUAAACCGACCAAUUCUCAUUUGGAGAAUUUAGCCAUUCUUGAUCUAUCUGAUAGCAGAAUCACUGAAGACUGGGAGGGUUGGAGUCAAAUCAAGGUCUUGUAUAGUCCCUACUUUUGUUUCUUCUAUCUCAUCAUCUACUGGAUUAAAAUUAAUCUUUUUCUGUUAUUUAUUUAAUUUUUAAACAGAUGGCAAAUAAGUUGAAAGUUCUAGAACUGGCUAAUUGUGCUUUAAGGAGAACUCCAGACUUUUCAUCAUAUGCAACUCUAAAGAUAUUGAUUCUUCAAGGUUGUAGAAAUUUGGUUGAUAUUGAUUCCGUAUGUGAUCUGAAGAAUUUAGAAGUGCUGGACAUUUCAUAUGUUGCUGGUAUAAGGAGGUUACCUGUUGAAAUUGAGGAGUUACGGAAGUUAGGGAGGUUGGAAGUGAUAGGUUUUGAAACAUUGAAGUUAGCUGAAGACAUUCCUAGUAAGAGGACUGCCGAACACCAAGUGCGACUGACCGUGAUUGGAUAGAUUUAAAUGAAUUUGACUUCCUCUGUUUUUGUUUUUAUUCUUUUAAAGGGUUUUUGAUCAUGUAUUAUUAGUAUUUUUACUAUUUUUAUUUAACUUUUUAUCCAUCUUAUCUUUUAUUAAUAGUCUAAAUGUAUUCUAGUCUGUAAGGUAAUGAGAGAAAGAUAGUGGGAAAUAUAACGGUUAAUGAAGAGUCACUAAAAAGGUAGAAAAUCAACACAUUGGCUGUAAACACGUGACUUGAAACAUUUGUAAAAAGGGAUGAAAUCAAAUCCAUUUAGAACUAUCCAAUUGGAGCUGCGACUGCGGAUCCACAAUUUGCAAUUGUGUUAGCAGUCCUCUUCCUAGUAAUAAGGGGGAAUCCAUAAUCUUUGAGAUUCUUGAGCUUUUAUGAUACCAAAAUUCGAAUCCUGCAAUGAGCUUUUGGGAGCUCUCUUGCCUCCACAACUGGAAACUGGGAAGCUGCAUCAUCUUACAAUUUCUGAUUAGGGGGUUGUGAGCUGUGAGCGUGUGGAGAUUCCUGUAGAUAUUUGGAAAUUAUGCAAAUUGGAGAAAUUGACAUUGGAUUCUAUACCAGAAGAUAUCGGUGUCCUUUCUCGGUUGAAGGUUUUCUAUGUAAAAUUCUGUGAUGAUCUUUAGUAUAUAUUUAGGCUACUGUUCCACACAAUUGGGGCAAUGGAAGUGCUCAGGCAUGUCGAAUAAAAGGAAAUACUUUUGAAACGAUCAGAUGAUUGUGAAAUAUUCUUUAUGCCUUCGAU